CCCCAGUUGCUGCUUGCAACUAUGUUAUUUAUUUCUUGUUCUUACACUGAGUUCAGAGAGAACAUCAGAAGAGACCAGAGUCUGAUAUUCCCGGUGUUCAGUCUGCUCAGAAUUGUCCAGUGGACCUGUCCUCAAUAUUCAGGGACAAUGACCCAAAACACACCUCCAGGCUGUGUAAGGGCUAUUUGACCAAGAAGGAGAGUGAUUGAGUGCUGCAUCAGAUGACCUGGCCUCCACAAUCAUCAGACCUCAACCCAAUUGAGAUGGUUCGAGAUUAGUUGGAUCGCAGGGUGAAGGAAAAGAAGCCUACAAGUGCUCAGCAUAUGUGGGAACUCCUUCAAAACUGUUGGAAAAGCAUUACAGAUGCCUGCAGACUCAGAUUGGACCCAGUGACAGCGUGCACACUCCUCUUUCUGUAUGAGAACAGAAUAUUUACAUUGUUGGGAGAGGAGCAGCCAUAUCCUGACCAUCCAGAAAUGUUUGAGCACUCACAAUAUGCUGUGUAGAGAGUCUGACUGGAUGCUGCUCCUGGGUGACAGAGUGAAGAGGAUGGGCUCAUGUAGGAGUGACAUAUGAAAGAAUCAGAAGGAAAGGAGAGCAUGAUGACCAUCUCCACUAUGACGCAUCCUGGAUUCUUAAGUGCCCUGGUGGCAAUUAUACUGCCUGUCAUAAUAGGAAGAAUUCUGACAUGCAUGUCUUCUACUCUCGCUCCGACACAGUAGGAGUGUAUCUGGACAGAGUCUAUUGUAACACAUUGAUCCACCUGCACACAUAAUACCCGACAGUCACUGAGCCUCUCUACCCAGGGGUUUGGUUUGGCGUUCACUCCUCAGUGUCCCUGUGCCAAGUAGAACUCUGCGUCCUGUGUCCAGAAGGAACACCUUCAGGAAAGUUACACUCCUGUUCAAACACAACUGUGGGACAUGAUGGGGCACUUUUGGCUUUCAUCAUGGCAGACAGCGGAGCGUUGUACUUGUCUAGUCCAUUCAGUGCAGAUUUGAAUAACCCCUACAUUUUUCUAGAGACAUGGGUUGGACACGUAGCCUCGGGAAGUACGGGUGCUGAAGGUGCUGCAGCACCCCCUGGUAGUGAGAUUGUAAAACUGUAAGAAUUUGUGUCGCAAUAAAAAACGAUUAAACCAUUUUUCUGCUGUAUUAUUGAUAUAAAUAAUAAUUGGAUUGGGGUAGGGGAGAGAAAAAAACAUUUGAUAUUUAUAUAUGGGGCCCAUUCCGCAUGGAGAGCUCUCAUCUCUGUUUUGUAAUCGGUUUGCUCGUGAUAUUCUGGUGAAGCUGUGGG
rnacentral:lncRNA from 1 species